rnacentral:rRNA from 1 species
GAUGAACGCUGGCGGCGUGCCUAAUACAUGCAAGUCGAGCGAACAGACGAGGAGCUUGCUCCUCUGACGUUAGCGGCGGACGGGUGAGUAACACGUGGAUAACCUACCUAUAAGACUGGGAUAACUUCGGGAAACCGGAGCUAAUACCGGAUAAUAUAUUGAACCGCAUGGUUCAAUAGUGAAAGACGGUUUUGCUGUCACUUAUCGAUGGAUCCGCGCCGCAUUAGCUAGUUGGUAAGGUAACGGCUUACCAAGGCAACGAUGCGUAGCCGACCUGAGAGGGUGAUAGGCCACACUGGAACUGAGACACGGUCCAGACUCCUACGGGAGGCAGCAGUAGGGAAUCGUCCGCAAUGGGCGAAAGCCUGACGGAGCAACGCCGCGUGAGUGAUGAAGGUCUUCGGAUCGUAAAACUCUGUUAUUAGGGAAGAACAAAUGUGUAAGUAACUAUGCACGUCUUGACGGUACCUAAUCAGAAAGCCACGGCUAACUACGUG